rnacentral:rRNA from 1 species
AACGAACGCUGGCGGCAGGCCUAACACAUGCAAGUCGAACGCCGUAGCAAUACGGAGUGGCAGACGGGUGAGUAACGCGUGGGAACAUGCCCUUCGGUUCGGAAUAACUCAGGGAAACUUGAGCUAAUACCGAAUACGUCCAAGGAAACUUGGAGAAAGAUUUAUCGCCGGAGGAUUGGCCCGCGUCUGAUUAGCUUGUUGGUGGGGUAAUGGCUCACCAAGGCGACGAUCAGUAGCUGGUCUGAGAGGAUGAUCAGCCACAUUGGGACUGAGACACGGCCCAAACUCCUACGGGAGGCAGCAGUGGGGAAUAUUGGACAAUGGGCGCAAGCUUGAUCCAGCCAUGCCGCGUGAGUGAUGAAGGCCCUAGGGUUGUAAAGCUCUUUUGCCCGGGAAGAUAAUGACGGUACCGGGAGAAUAAGCCCCGGCUAACUUCGUGCCAGCCGCCGCCGUAACAC